GGGAGAGAGAGCCUGGCUGCCGCGGUGACCCGACCGGCGACGGGACGGUCACACGGUGUGGUUCACCCUUCGAGGUGGACCGCACGCUUCGUCGGACGGCUCCGCGAGUCGUUCGGCGGACGCGAGGAAAGUCCCCCCACCCGUUCGGGCGGGUGACCGGGCGCAAGCCCGGAGCGCGAGACCGCUGGCUCUGGAACAGAAACGACACGUCUCGGCCCGACCGAUGAUGCGCGCGAACCCGACCGCGAGGAAGGGGAGAUAACCCGCAGAGGGUGCGACUCGACGCGCCGCUGGUGCGAGAGUCGCCAUCCGCGCGGUCGACGACCGUGGUUCGAUUCCACGGGGGACGCUCGACGUCCCCGACCGUGGGGAGACGGCCGAGGAUCGAUGGAACGGCGAAUCCUCACCGGUGCAAGUCCGUGCCGUGGUAGCCCGAACGUCCCGCGGCAUCCCCGCGGACGGCGCGGACGCUCAGCCGAAUGCCGGGACGAACAGAAGGGGGCUUACUCCUCUCACCC
rnacentral:RNase_P_RNA from 1 species